rfam:Wenzhou tombus-like virus 6 strain WZFSL85189 hypothetical protein 1, hypothetical protein 2, and hypothetical protein 3 genes, complete cds.
UCGCCACUGGUCCUCGACGUAUCCUGGGAAACAGGCAGCAGUAUUGCGUAAGCUCGGGUGUCUAGUCAACACCGCCGUAUAGCUUGGAUUUGGCC